rnacentral:lncRNA from 10 species
AAAAAAAAAAAAAACUACUACAAAAGACUGUAAAAACACAACCUUGCACAAAGGCCACUGCAACCUUAUAUACAUACAAAAAUAUUUCUGCAAGGACUUCUGCUUGUUCAACCUCAGACUGGUGCCACCAGGACUUGUUAUUAAUCCCUGGAGUUAGGGAUAGUUAUCCCAAGACAAUUACAUAAUCCUUGUUUUUCCUUUUAAUCUGUCUUCCUUUACCUCCCUGAAUACGCAUAGUAUGGCACAUGGACUCCCACUGCAAUGCCCCAUUCAUGAAUAGGUAUCAUUUUCUUUUACGGCCUCCGUUUAUUUAGGUUGACAGUAUAUACCACAAUUUGUUUAUCCAUUAUAUGUUGAAUAUUUUGGGUUGUUUCCACCUUUGGGCUGUUAUGAAUAAUUCUGCUAAAACCAGUUGUAUACAAGUUUCUGUGUAUCAAACUACCUUUGCAAAAGUGACAGUAAGAGAAAUCUGACAUGGCUGACUCCAUCUUGCUUCUGAACUCAACAGGCCUACGUCUUGGUAGAAUUCAGGCCCCUCUCAUCCUCUUCACUUGAGGGUCUUUCACUAGUUUUAUAAGGGCAGUUUAGCUUUUGGGAAGAGCUCAUCAAAUCUUAUUGUUGACGAGUUUUUAUAGAGCUUUAUCUCCAGCCACCUCUGCUCCAGGAGGCUGGUGGGUGGGAGUGAAAGUUCCAACCCUCUCAUCACUUGGUCUUUCUGGUGGCUGGCCCCAUCCUGAGGCUAGCUAGGGGUCCCACUCUAAGUCAUGAACUCACGUAUUAUCCCAUUACACAGGAAAUUCCAAGUGUUUUUCAGUUGCUGUGAUAAGAACCAGGAAAAAAGGCUAAAUAUAUUUCAUAUUACCACAGAUACAUAUAUCUAGGAGUGGAAUUGCCAUAUAGUAAUUCUGUUCAGCUUUCAGGAACUGCCACUGUUUUCCAUAGGGGCUACACCAUUUUACGUUCUCACCAGCAAUGCAUGAGGGUUCCUGUUUCUCCACACCCUCACCAAGAGUUAUUUUUUUCAUAAAUAAGCCAUCCUCGUGGGUAUGAACCGGCAUCUCAUUGUAGUUUUGAUUUGCAUUUCUUUAAUAACCAAUGAUGUUGAACCAGUUUUCAUGUGCUUUUUGGCCAUUUGUGUAUCUUCUUUGGAGAAAUAUCUGUUCAAUUCCUCUCAUUUUUGAAAAAGGUUAUCUUUUUUAUUAAGAAUUUUUUAUAGUUCAAAUAGCAAACUACAGAUAUCAGACUAUCAUAUCGUUUGCAAAAAUAUUCUCCCCUUCCAUAAGUUUUUUUUUCAUUCUUCACCAUUCUUGGAUGUACAAGUUUUUAAUUUUGAUGAAGUCCCAUUUACAUAUUUUUUCUUCUGUUGCUUGUUUUCAAUGUCCAAUGCAAUAAUCCAUUGCCAAAUCCAAGGUGAUGAGGACUUACUCAUUUUCUUCUAGAUCUAGCUCUUACAGAUUGUUUACCAAUUUUGAGUUAAUGAGUGAUAAAUGAAGGCAUAUGAGGUAGAGUUCCAACUUCAUUCUUUUACAUGUGGU